GGCUUUGCAAGUAUACCAAGUUAUUCUGUUACUAUUAAAAGCAAAGUAGAGAGCUUGGAUGAAAUAAGUAGGUACUGGGUUCAUAUUUUGUUUUCUUCAAGAACAGUACAAUGACAACAAGUCGCUGGGACAACUUGUUAACCAUGAGCCAGCAAUGUGCCAUUGUGGCCAAGAAGGCAAAUGCUAUCCUGGGGUGCAUUAAGAGGAGUGUGGCCUGCAGGUCGACAGAGGUGAUCCUUCCCCUCUACUCAGCCCUGGUGUAUUGUGUCCAGUUCUGGGCUCCCCAGUUCAAGACGGACAAAGGAGAGGGUCCAGCAGAGGGCCACCCCAUGAUUAGGGGUCUGGAGCAUCUCUCCCGUGAAGAAAGUCUGAGAGAGCUGGGCCUGUUCAGCCUGGAGAAGAGACAAAGAUCCCUGAGAAGGGAUCUUACCAGUGCACACAAACGCCUAAAGGGUGGAUGUCAAGAGGAUGGGGCCAGACUCUUUUCAGUGGUGCCCAGAUAAUGGGCAAAGGGCACAAACUGAAACACAGGAAGUUCUUUCUGAGUAUGAGGAAAAACUUCUUUACUGUUAGGGUGUCAGAACAUAGGAACAGGCUGCCCAGAGAGGUUGUGCAGUCGUCUUCUCUGGAGAUACUCAAAACCUGCCUGGGCACGAUCCUGUGCAGCUUGCUCUAGGUGAACCUGCUUUAGCAGGGGGGUUGGACCAGAUGAUCUCCAGAGGUCCCUUCCCUUCCAACCCUAACCAUUGUGUGAUUCUGUGAAUGAAUAGUACAAUAGUACAAGAAUGGCCCAACAGUAGAGAACUGGCAAUAUGUGAUACGCAUUUGUACACAGUUAUGUGUACACAUGUGCAUAUAUCCCCAUGUAAAUAAGCAUACACGUGUAAUUUGGACACAAGUAUGAAUUAUAGUCCAAACUUGGUAACAUUCAAAUACAUUCACAGGUGUAAUAUCUGGCAUGUGCUUGAAGAGUAGUUUAUUUUUAAUUUGAAAUAAACAGUACAUAAACUGAGGUUGGCUUAU
rnacentral:lncRNA from 1 species